UGGUGGUGAACAGCGUGACCGGCCAGUGAUGAGGGAGCAUGCAGACCAAGGCUGAGGAUCAGACUUGUGAACGGCGUCUGAGUCCCUGCAGCUGAGGUCAAGGUCUUUGGACAGGAAUCUCAGAGCUGCCCGUCACCCCGCAAGGCUGAUGCUGGGGCUGCCAGGGACCAAGCCCCGCUGCAUGACCGUGCAUCCAGAGCAUCAUGCCCAUCACAGCACGCUUGGGAAGAAGAACUUGGUGUGCUAGGUGCAGCCCAUGGCGGGGCCCUGACUACCACCAGCCCCGGGGCCCAGCCCCUCUGGCCGCCCCCGCCUGAUCCUUCCUGGGCCCCUGCCUCUUGAGGUCGGAGCAAGGCCUUUCUCUAGGUGACAUGCGCAGCAACACCCUGGCAGAGCUUCACAUUUGAAGCUGGCGACAAUCUGUCACUCUCUGGCAUCCCCAAGAAUCCAGUGCACUUGCCACUUCCCGGGGGUCUACGCACACUCGUCCCGCGGCCGGCUCCCUGCGUCUCCCUCUUUUAUCAGCUUCUUUGUAGCUCCACUGCCUCGUUUCCCCCUGCGGUUUGUAGGCAAGGAGCAGCCCGCCGGCCGGUUCUGGAGCAGAACCCUUCCACUGCGAGCUGUUACGGUGGGAUUAAGGCCGCUCUCUUUGCUCUCACGCAGUCAUUCAUUAAAAUGUUUUUUUGCCUAAAUUAUACCAUGCGCUUGCCAGGCG
rnacentral:lncRNA from 1 species